GUCCUGAUGGGCAAGAUCGGGCAGUCUUGGUUAGUUUGUCAACAAUGACCCAAAUAGCAUUAGGCUCAAGGCAUGAAUGACUACAUUCCCUCUAUUAGGAUAGUAGAUGAUCUUGCAGUCAUAGUCCUUCAAGAGGUCUAUCCAACAUCUCUGUCUCAUAUUCAACUCCCUCUACAAGAAGAUGUACUUUAAACUUUUGUGGUCAGUGUAAAUUAAAAGGUCUAACCAAAUAGGUAAUGGCGCCAUAUCUUCAAGGUAAAGAGGCUGUCAAGUCCAGAUCGUGAGUAUGGUAAUUCCACUAAUGGGGUUUCAACUGUAUGGAUCCAUAAAUGACCACUUUACAAUACUGCAUCGAAAUGCAUCCUAAAGUAAUAUGUGAUGUAUCGCAGUAGACCUAAAAUCUUACAGUGUUGUCAAGGAGGAUCAAUGUCAGGGUAAAGAUAAGAUGAUGUUUUAAAUGCAUAAAACCUUCACCACAUUCAUAAUCCUAGAUAAAAGUACACCUUUUCGACUGAAUCCAGUCAACAUAGCAAUAAUCUUGGAAAAUCUGU
rnacentral:lncRNA from 1 species